rnacentral:misc_RNA from 1 species
GAUGAAGAACGCAGCGAAAUGCGAUAAGUAAUGUGAAUUGCAGAAUUCAGUGAAUCAUCGAAUCUUUGAACGCACAUUGCGCCCGCCAGUAUUCUGGCGGGCAUGCCUGUUCGAGCGUCAUUUCAACCCUCAAGCCCCCGGGCUUGGUGUUGGGGAUCGGCGUGCCCUCGCGGCGCGCCGUCCCCUAAAUCUAGUGGCGGUCUCGCUGUAGCUUCCUCUGCAUAGUAGCAACACUCGCACUGGAUCGCAGCGCGGCCACGCCGUUAAACCCCCCACUUCUGAAAGUUUGACCUCGGAUCAGGUAGGAAUACCCGCUGAACUUAAGCAUAUCAAUAAGCGGAGGA